ACCGCGGGACCAGUAUAUUAAACUGAUUUUUGUAAGCUGACGGUACGCUCGGGGCUCGCUCCACUCCCGUCGCUGGUCGGCCCGGCAUUGCAGUGCCGCCGGGAUCGGCCCACAUUUA
rnacentral:snRNA from 1 species